rnacentral:lncRNA from 1 species
ACAGCAUGGUACUGAUGGGGUAAUUGCUGGGUGCCGAACAGGUCAGUGAGUCCAGAGAAGGGUUUCGUGUGAGCUGUGCCAUGCCUUAGAAGCGGAGUUGCAUACGUGUACAUGAGCUGUGUCUGGCUGUGCUCCCUGAGAAUCCUUUCCCUUUAUCUGCAUGCACGUGGCAUGAAAUUCUAUCCUUGAAGAGGAUUUCUGACACAUGGGGUGAACACCACAUACUGAGUAACUGAACACCAAGUAACACCCUGUCUCUGUAAAAUGACCACUCUUCUACACCAAAGGUUGCAUUUUAAGAUUCAUAAAUGCUUAAUAAACAUAAUAAACUAUGAA